AUUGAACGCUGGCGGCAGGCCUAACACAUGCAAGUCGAACGAGUGGCGGGCGGGUGAGUAAUGUCUGGGAAACUGCCUGUUGGAGGGGGAUAAAUACUGGAACCGGUAGCUAAUACCGCAUACCAUCGGAUGUGCCCAGAUGGGAUUCGCUAGUAGGUGGGGUAAAGGCUCACCUAGGCGACGAUCCCUAGCUGGUCUGAGGGGAGGACCAGCCACACUGGAAUUGAGACACGGUCCAGACUCUUCCGGGAGGCAGCAGUGGGGAAUAUUGAACAAGGGGCGCAAGCCGGAUGCAGCCAGGCCGGGUGUGGGAAGAAGGCCGGCGGGUUGUAAAGCACUGUCAGCGAGGAGGCUUUACUCGCAGAAGAAGCACCGGAUAACUCCGUGCCAGCAGCCGCGGUAAUA
rnacentral:rRNA from 1 species